GAGAGCGGCGUACGGGUGCGGAACACGUUGCACUGCCUUUAUCUGGGGGAUAGCCUUUCGAAAGGAAGAUUAAUACCCCAUAAUAUGUUGAAUGGCAUCAUUCGACAUUGAAAACUCCGGUGGAUAGAGAUGGGCACGCGCAAGAUUAGAUAGUUGGUGAGGUAACGGCUCACCAAGUCUACGAUCUUUAGGGAGCCUGAGAGGGUGAUCCCCCACACUGGUACUGAGACACGGACCAGACUCCUACGGGAGGCAGCAGUGAGGAAUAUUGGACAAUGGGUGAGAGCCUGAUCCAGCCAUCCCGCGUGAAGGACGACUGCCCUAUGGGUUGUAAACUUCUUUUGUAUAGGGAUAAACCUACCCUCGUGAGGGUAGCUGAAGGUACUAUACGAAUAAGCACCGGCUAACUCCGUGCCAGCAGCCGCGGUAAUACGGAGGGUGCAAGCGUUAUCCGGAUUAUGGGUUUAAAGGGUCCGUAGGCGGAUCUGUAAGUCAGUGGUGAAAUCUCACAGUUACUGUGAAAACUGCAUUGAUACUGCAGGUCUUGAGUGUUGGUUGAAGUAGCUGGAAUAAGUAGUGUAACGGUGAAAUGCUUAAUUU
rnacentral:rRNA from 1 species